rnacentral:rRNA from 1 species
AGAGUUUGAUCAUGGCUCAGAUUGAACGCUGGCGGCAGGCCUAACACAUGCAAGUCGAACGGUAACAGGAAACAGCUUGCUGUUUCGCUGACGAGUGGCGGACGGGUGAGUAAUGUCUGGGAAACUGCCUGAUGGAGGGGGAUAACUACUGGAAACGGUAGCUAAUACCGCAUAACGUCGCAAGACCAAAGAGGGGGACCUUCGGGCCUCUUGCCAUCAGAUGUGCCCAGAUGGGAUUAGCUAGUAGGCGGGGUAACGGCUCACCUAGGCGACGAUCCCUAGCUGGUCUGAGAGGAUGACCAGCCACACUGGAACUGAGACACGGUCCAGACUCCUACGGGAGGCAGCAGUGGGGAAUAUUGCACAAUGGGCGCAAGCCUGAUGCAGCCAUGCCGCGUGUAUGAAGAAGGCCUUCGGGUUGUAAAGUACUUUCAGCGGGGAGGAAGGGAGUAAAGUUAAUACCUUUGCUCAUUGACGUUACCCGCAGAAGAAGCACCGGCUAACUCCGUGCCAGCAGCCGCGGUAAUACGGAGGGUGCAAGCGUUAAUCGGAAUUACUGGGCGUAAAGCGCACGCAGGCGGUUUGUUAAGUCAGAUGUGAAAUCCCCGGGCUCAACCUGGGAACUGCAUCUGAUACUGGCAAGCUUGAGUCUCGUAGAGGGGGGUAGAAUUCCAGGUGUAGCGGUGAAAUGCGUAGAGAUCUGGAGGAAUACCGGUGGCGAAGGCGGCCCCCUGGACGAAGACUGACGCUCAGGUGCGAAAGCGUGGGGAGCAAAACAGGAUUAGAUACCCUGGUAGUCCACGCCGUAAACGAUGUCGACUUGGAGGUUGUGCCCUUGAGGCGUGGCUUCCGGAGCUAACGCGUUAAGUCGACCGCCUGGGGAGUACGGCCGCAAGGUUAAAACUCAAAUGAAUUGACGGGGGCCCGCACAAGCGGUGGAGCAUGUGGUUUAAUUCGAUGCAACGCGAAGAACCUUACCUGGUCUUGACAUCCACGGAAGUUUUCAGAGAUGAGAAUGUGCCUUCGGGAACCGUGAGACAGGUGCUGCAUGGCUGUCGUCAGCUCGUGUUGUGAAAUGUUGGGUUAAGUCCCGCAACGAGCGCAACCCUUAUCCUUUGUUGCCAGCGGUCCGGCCGGGAACUCAAAGGAGACUGCCAGUGAUAAACUGGAGGAAGGUGGGGAUGACGUCAAGUCAUCAUGGCCCUUACGACCAGGGCUACACACGUGCUACAAUGGCGCAUACAAAGAGAAGCGACCUCGCGAGAGCAAGCGGACCUCAUAAAGUGCGUCGUAGUCCGGAUUGGAGUCUGCAACUCGACUCCAUGAAGUCGGAAUCGCUAGUAAUCGUGGAUCAGAAUGCCACGGUGAAUACGUUCCCGGGCCUUGUACACACCGCCCGUCACACCAUGGGAGUGGGUUGCAAAAGAAGUAGGUAGCUUAACCUUCGGGAGGGCGCUUACCACUUUGUGAUUCAUGACUGGGGUGAAGUCGUAACAAGGUAACCGUAGGGGAACCUGCGGUUG